GCUGAGGACCACCACUGUCAUAGAGCAAGAGAGACAUUCUCCCUCAACACACCUGUCAACUCCACACCUGUCAACUCCACACCUGUCAACUCUACACCUGUUACGUUGAGCACAGCCAGGUCCUGCGAUAAGCAGAAAUGAUCAUCAACAUUGUGCUGGUGGUGCUGGUGCUGGUGGCGCUGCUGGGGGCGGUGCUGGCGGGGCCGCAGCUCAUCACCAAGAAGAGAGACUUCCCUGGCCAGAGGCGCCUCGGGACCACCAACUACGGUGGCCACAGUUUCGGCAAGAAAGGUUUUAGUCACCUACCAUUAGCGAGACUGAAGAAUUAGAAGAAUAGGAUGACAAUGGAGUCAAAUUAUCCUGGAAGAUGAUCUGGAAAUCCAUUCCUCUGGCACCUCAUAUCCUGCCUGAGGACCCCUCACUCAUAUCCUAAAUGAGGCAACUCAUAUCCUGCUCGAGUUCCUUCUCUCAUAAUCUACAUAAGGCAUCCCAUAACAAGCCCCAAAUAAAACUAUAUAUAAUCAACAUAACCAACCACAAGCGUCACUUCUGUUGAUAUGCCACCUGCAGGCAACAACAGCCUGAGAAUCAUGCCUGUCAUUGAUGUCCCUGGAAUGUGUGAAAUGUUUUUAUCUCUUAUCUUCGCUAUUAGCAUGUUGCCUCGACCCCCUUUUGAUAAACACCAUUCUACAGAUUUGCUCAUAUAUUCACAUUACAUUGUACGAUUUUGUCUACUGUUGAGUUACGCACUUCUCUGUUUUAUCUAUGUUGUAUGUUUUUUAUAUUAUAUUGUAGAAUACACUGUUAUGUUUCCUAGUUUAAAAGUACGUCUGUAAGGCGUGUGAACGAGACUCAUAGUUGUUAAAUAUUGUAAAUAUUUUGUACGCGUCCAUGUUAAACGCCUUUUUAAUAUCGUUAAGUUGUAAUUAACUGUAUAAAUAUUUACGAAACGAGCGGAAUUGCCAUGUAAAUUAUAAUUACUGUUAUAAAUAAACUGACAAAACCUG